rnacentral:rRNA from 1 species
UACAGAGGGUGCAAGCGUUAAUCGGAAUUACUGGGCGUAAAGGGCGCGUAGGCGGCCGCCUAAGUCAGACGUGAAAUCCCUCGGCUCAACCGGGGAACUGCGUCUGAUACUGGGUGGCUUGAAUCCGGGAGAGGGAUGCGGAAUUCCAGGUGUAGCGGUGAAAUGCGUAGAUAUCUGGAGGAACACCGGUGGCGAAGGCGGCAUCCUGGACCGGCAUUGACGCUGAGGCGCGAAAGCCAGGGGAGCAAACGGG